CAGGUCAUGCUUCUCUUGUAUUUGCUGCAAGACGCUGCACAAGGGGAUGUCUUCGAAAGACUGUAACAGCUGCCAGGGGUUUGGAGCAGGAGGGCCCACUCAGGCUUCAGAAAGUACCUCCUUUGGCUGAGACUCCCGCUCUAUCUGCACGGCCUGCCUUGGGCUGCCCCCAAGGAGGUUCUCAAGGGGCCGGGUCUUGAAUGCCCUCCCAGCUGCCCACGUGCCUCAGGGGCAGCCUAUAACCAGCUGAGUGCCCCUGGAGGGGACAGCGCCCUGAACCUUGCAAAGGCAAGGCCUUGCUCGGACACCUUCGCACCCCCACGUGGGGACGCCGAGCCUCAGCUCAGAAGCCACCUCAACGAGCGCCCGGACCACUGCCCCCGCUCGCAGCUGAGACGUCCGCCCUCCCCACUCCCCACCGCUCUGAGCAGCCCGGCCCGGCCGCUUCCAGGAGCC